rnacentral:rRNA from 1 species
UACGUAGGGGGCAAGCGUUGUCCGGAAUUAUUGGGCGUAAGGGGCGCGUAGGCGGCUUGGCAAGUGGAAGGUGAAAUCCCUCGGCUUAACCGGGGAACUGCAUCUGAUACUGGAUGGCUUGAGUUCGGGAGAGGGAUGUGGAAUUCCAGGUGUAGCGGUGAAAUGCGUAGAUAUCUGGAGGAACACCGGUGGCGAAGGCGGCAUCCUGGACCGACACUGACGCUGAGGAGCGAAAGCCAGGGGAGCAAACGGG